rnacentral:rRNA from 1 species
GUAGUUAGCCGUGGCUUCCUCCUUAGGUACCGUCAUUAUCGUCCCUAAAGACAGAGCUUUACAAUCCGAAGACCUUCAUCACUCACGCGGCGUUGCUGCAUCAGGGUUUCCCCCAUUGUGCAAUAUUCCCCACUGCUGCCUCCCGUAGGAGUCUGGACCGUGUCUCAGUUCCAGUGUGGCCGAUCAGCCUCUCAGCUCGGCUACCCAUCGCAGGCUUGGUGGGCCGUUACCUCACCAACUACCUAAUGGGACGCGAACCCCUCUUAAAGCGGAUUGCUCCUUUGACCUCAUCCCGAUGCCGGGUCGUGGUCUUAUGCGGUAUUAGCACUUGUUUCCAGGUGUUAUCCCCCUCUUUAAGGCAGGUUGUUCACGCGUUACUCACCCGUUCGCCACUCAGUACAAAACCGAAAUUCUGUACUCCGUUCGACUUGCAUGUGUUAAGCACGCCGCCAGCGUUCGUCCUGAGCCAAGAUCAAAUUCUGA